GGGCCCGCACAAGCGGUGGAGCAUGUGGUUUAAUUCGAUGAUACGCGAGGAACCUUACCAGGGCUUAAAUGUAGUGGGACAGGUCUAGAGAUAGACCCUUCUUCGGACUCAUUACAAGGUGCUGCAUGGUUGUCGUCAGCUCGUGCCGUGAGGUGUCAGGUUAAGUCCUAUAACGAGCGCAACCCCUAUCGUUAGUUGCCAGCGAGUAAUGUCGGGAACUCUAACGAAACUGCCAGUGAUAAGCUGGAGGAAGGUGGGGAUGACGUCAAGUCCUCAUGGCCCUUAUGUGUUGGGCUACACACGUGCUACAAUGGCCGGUACAGAGAGCAGCCACUUCGCAAGAAGGAGCG
rnacentral:rRNA from 1 species